AGUGAACGCUGGCGGUAGGCCUAACACAUGCAAGUCGAACGGCAGCACAGUAAGAGCUUGCUCUUACGGGUGGCGAGUGGCGGACGGGUGAGGAAUACAUCGGAAUCUACUUUUUCGUGGGGGAUAACGUAGGGAAACUUACGCUAAUACCGCAUACGACCUACGGGUGAAAGACGGGGAUCUUCGGACCUUGCGCGAUUGAAUGAGCCGAUGUCGGAUUAGCUAGUUGGCGGGGUAAAGGCCCACCAAGGCGACGAUCCGUAGCUGGUCUGAGAGGAUGAUCAGCCACACUGGAACUGAGACACGGUCCAGACUCCUACGGGAGGCAGCAGUGGGGAAUAUUGGACAAUGGGCGCAAGCCUGAUCCAGCCAUACCGCGUAGGUGAAGAAGGCCUUCGGGUUGUAAAGCCCUUUUGUUGGGAAAGAAAAGCAGCAGGUUAAUACCCCGCUGUUCUGACGGUACCCAAAGAAUAAGCACCGGCUAACUUCGUG
rnacentral:rRNA from 1 species